AUUGAACGCUGGCGGCAGGCUUAACACAUGCAAGUCGAGCGAGAGGCGGACGGGUGAGUUAUGUCUGGGAAACUGCCUGAUGGAGGGCGAUAAAUACUGGAAACGGUAGCUAAUAACGCAUACCAUCAGAUGUGCCCAGAUGGGUUUCGCUAGUAGGUGGGGGAAUGGCUCACCUAGGCGACGAUCCCUAGCUGGUCUGCGAGGAUGACCAGCAACACUGGAACUGAGACACGGUCCAGACUCCUACGGGAGGCAGCAGUGGGGAAUAUUGCACAAUGGGCGCAAGCCUGAUGCAGCCAUGCCGCGUGUGUGAAGAAGGCCUUCGGGUUGUAAAGCACUUUCAGCGAGGAGGCGUUACUCGCAGAAGAAGCACCGGCUAACUCCGUGCCAGCAGCCGCGGUAAUUC
rnacentral:rRNA from 1 species